GUCGAACGAACUCUGGUAUUGAUUGGUGCUUGCAUCAUGAUUUACAUUUGAGUGAGUGGCGAACUGGUGAGUAACACGUGGGAAACCUGCCCAGAAGCGGGGGAUAACACCUGGAAACAGAUGCUAAUACCGCAUAACAACUUGGACCGCAUGGUCCGAGUUUGAAAGAUGGCUUCGGCUAUCACUUUUGGAUGGUCCCGCGGCGUAUUAGCUAGAUGGUGGGGUAACGGCUCACCAUGGCAAUGAUACGUAGCCGACCUGAGAGGGUAAUCGGCCACAUUGGGACUGAGACACGGCCCAAACUCCUACGGGAGGCAGCAGUAGGGAAUCUUCCACAAUGGACGAAAGUCUGAUGGAGCAACGCCGCGUGAGUGAAGAAGGGUUUCGGCUCGUAAAACUCUGUUGUUAAAGAAGAACAUAUCUGAGAGUAACUGUUCAGGUAUUGACGGUAUUUAACCAGAAAGCCACGGCUAACUACGUGCCAGCAGCCGCGGUAAUACGUAGGUGGCAAGCGUUGUCCGGAUUUAUUGGGCGUAAAGCGAGCGCAGGCGGUUUUUUAAGUCUGAUGUGAAAGCCUUCGGCUCAACCGAAGAAGUGCAUCGGAAACUGGGAAACUUGAGUGCAGAAGAGGACAGUGGAACUCCAUGUGUAGCGGUGAAAUGCGUAGAUAUAUGGAAGAACACCAGUGGCGAAGGCGGCUGUCUGGUCUGUAACUGACGCUGAGGCUCGAAAGUAUGGGUAGCAAACAGGAUUAGAUACCCUGGUAGUCCAUACCGUAAACGAUGAAUGCUAAGUGUUGGAGGGUUUCCGCCCUUCAGUGCUGCAGCUAACGCAUUAAGCAUUCCGCCUGGGGGA
rnacentral:rRNA from 1 species